rnacentral:lncRNA from 1 species
AGAGAGAGAGAGCAAGAGGUAAGAGACAAAGUGAGAGCGAGAGGUAAGAGACAAAGCGAGAGAGCGAGAGGUCAGAGACAAAGAGAGAGAGCGAGAGGUAAGAGAGAGAGCGAGAGGUAAGAGAGAGAGAGCGAGAGGUAAGAGACAAAGAGAGAGAGCAAGAUGUAAGAGAGAGAGAGAGAGAGAUGUAAGAGAGAGAGAGAGAGAGAGGUAAGAGACAAAGAGAGAUAGAGCAAGAGGUAAGAGAAAAAGAGAGAUAGAGCGAGAGGUAAGAGACAAAGAGAGAGAGAGCGAGAGGUAAGAGACAAAGGGAGAUAGAGCGAGAGGUAAGAGACCAAAAGAGAGAGCGAGAGGUAAGAGAGAGAGCGAGAGGUAAGAGACAAAGAGAGAGAGCAAGAGGUAAGAGACAAAGCGAGAGAUGAGAGACAAAGGUAAGAGACAGAGAGCGAGAGGUAAGAGACAAAAAGAGAGAGCGAGAGGUAAGAGAGAGAGCGAGAGGUAAGAGACAAAGAGAGAGAGCGAGAGGUGAGAGACAAAGAGAGAGAGCGAGAGGUAAGUGACAAAGAGAGAGAGCGAGAGGUAAGUGACAAAGAGAGAGAGCGAGAGAGGUAAGAGACAAAGAGAGAGCAAGAUGUAAGAGACAAAGAGAGAGCAAGAUGUAAGAGAGAGAGAGAGUGAGAGAGAGAGGUAAGAGACAAAGAGAGAUAGAGGGAGAGGUAAGAGACAAAGAGAGAUAGAGCGAGGGGUAAGAGACAAAGUUAGAUAAAGCGAGCAAGAGGUAAGAGACAAAGAGAGACAGAGCGAGAGGUAAGUGACAAAUAGAGAGAGAGCGAGAGGUAAGAGACAAAUAGAGAGAGAGCGAGAGGUAAGAGACAAAGAUAGAUAGAGAGAGCGAGAGGUAAGAGACAAAGCGAGAGAGCGAGAGGUCAGAGACAAAGAGAGAGAGCGAGAGGUAAGUGACAAAGAGAGAGAGCGAGAGGUAAGUGACAAAUACAGAGAGCAAGAGGUAAGAGACAAAGAGAGAGAGCAAGAUGUAAGAGCGAGGGGUAAGAGACAAAGUUAGAUAAAGCGAGCAAGAGGUAAGAGACAAAGCGAGAGAUGAGAGACAAAGGUAAGAGACAAAGAGAGAGAGAGAGCUAAGAGACAAGGAGAGACAGAGCGAGAGGUAAGAGACAAAGAGAGAGAGAGCGAGAGGUAAGAGACAAAGAUAGAUAGAGUGAGAGAGAGCGAGAGGUAAGAGACAAAGCGAGAGAGCGAGAGGUAAGAGACAAAGCGAGAGAGCGAGAGGUAAGUGACAAAGAGAGAGAGCGAGAGGUAAGUGACAAAUACAGAGAGCAAGAGGUAAGAGACAAAGAGAGAGAGCAAGAUGUAAGAGAGAGAGAGAGAGAUGUAAGAGAGAGAGAGAGAGAGGUAAGAGACAAAGAGAGAUAGAGCAAGAGGUAAGAGAAAAAGAGAGAGAGAGCGAGAGGUAAGAGACAAAGAGAGAUAGAGCGAGAGGUAAGAGACAAAGGGAGAGAGAGAGGUAAGAGCAAAGGGAGAUUGAGCGACAGGUAGGAGACAAAGAGAGAUAGAGCGAGAGGUAUGAGACAAAGAGAGAUAGAGCGAGAGGUAAGAAACAGAGAGAGAUAGAGCGAGAGAGUUAAGAGAAAAAGAAAGAGAGAGCGAGAGAGAGAUAGAGGUAAGAGACAAAGAGAGGUAAGACACAAAGAGAGAGAGCGAGAGGUAAGAGACAAACAGAGAUAGAGCGAGAGGUAAGAGACAAAGAGAGAGAGCGAGAGGUAAGAGACAAACAGAGAUAGAGCGAGAGGUAAGAGACAAAGAGAGAGAGCGAGAGGUAAGAGACAAACAGAGAGAGCGAGAGGUAAGAGACAAAGAGAGAGAGCGAGAGGUAAGAGACAAACAGAGAGAGCGAGAGGUAAGAGACAGAGGCAAAGAGAGAGAGCGAGAGAGGUAAGAGACAAGAGAGAUAGAGCGAGAGGUAAAAGACAAAGACCUAGAGCGAGAGAGAGCGAGAGGUAAGAGACAAGAGAGAGAGACCGAAAGCGAGAGAGAGAGAGAGAGAGAGGUAAGAGACAAAGAGAGAUAGAGCGAGAGGUAAGAGAAAAAGAGAGAGCGAGAGAGAGGUAAGAGACAAAGACAGAUAGAGCGAGAGGUAAGAGAGAAAAAGAGAGAGCAAGAGGUAAGAGACAAAGAGAGAGAGAGCGAGAGGUAAGAGACAAAGGGAGAUAGAGUGAGAGGUAAGACACAAAGAGAGAUAGAGCGAGAGGUAAGACACAAAGAGAGAUAGAGCGAGAGGUAAGAGACAAAGAGAGAUAGAGCGAGAGGUAAGAGACAAAGAGAGAGAGCGAGAGGUAAGAGACAAGAGAGAUAGAGCGAGAGGUAAAAGACAAAGACCUAGAGCGAGAGAGAGUGAGAGGUAAGAGACAAGAGAGAGAGACCGAAAGCAAGAGAGAGAGGUAAGAGACAAAGAGAGAUAGAGCAAGAGAGGUAAGAGAAAAAGAGAGAGCGAGAGAGAGGUAAG